rnacentral:rRNA from 1 species
UAUCCGUAAGGAGAAGCUCUUGAUCGAAGCCCCAGUAAACGGCGGCCGUAACUAUAACGGUCCUAAGGUAGCGAAAUUCCUUGUCGGGUAAGUUCCGACCUGCACGAAUGGCGUAAUGAUGGCCAGGCUGUCUCCACCCGAGACUCAGUGAAAUUGAACUCGCUGUGAAGAUGCAGUGUACCCGCGGCAAGACGGAAAGACCCCGUGAACCUUUACUAUAGCUUGACACUGAACAUUGAGCCUUGAUGUGUAGGAUAGGUGGGAGGCUUCGAAGYGUGGACGCCAGUCUGCRUGGAGCCAACCUUGAAAUACCACCCUUUAAUGUUUGAUGUUCUAACGUUGCCCCGUUAUCCGGGGUGCGGACAGUGUCUGGUGGGUAGUUUGACUGGGGCGGUCUCCUCCCAAAGAGUAACGGAGGAGCACGAAGGUUGGCUAAGCAUGGUCGGACAUCAUGCGGUUAGUGCAAAGGCAUAAGCCAGCUUGACUGCGAGAGUGACGGCUCGAGCAGGUACGAAAGUAGGUCUUAGUGAUCCGGUGGUUCUGAAUGGAAGGGCCAUCGCUCAACGGAUAAAAGGUACUCCGGGGAUAACAGGCUGAUACCGCCCAAGAGUUCAUAUCGACGGCGGU